UGGGUGGAAAGGACCUGGAGAAAGGGGAAGUAGCAGAGGAUGACAGGAGAUGCUUGGAAGCAGGACCUGAGGAACCCAGUGCAAGCAGUUUAUUUGGAAGGUGAAAAACCCUGAAGAAAGGAGAAUUGAAACAGGGUGCAACAGCAAUCAAGCCUGCAACAUAAGCUAAACUUGGAAGUCUCCUAACCUGCUCUCAAAUUUUCAACAUCUGGUGAAGUCUGUAAAGUGCCUCCAAGUGGGUGUGAUUUACCAUGGUGUCUAGAGGCCUCAGGAGUUCCCUGCUGUCGCGCAAAACCACACUCUGCCUUUAGCAACUUGUUCAAAACCUUAACUGAAUUCUUUAUAACAGCUUCCGUGAGUUGAGCAUCUACCUCAGUUUGUCAAGCUUUCUUUUCAUAGCCAUCAAUGUCUGAAGAAGUUACUUA